GAGAAGCAGCUGAGGGAGAAAGCAGCUAUCUGGUCAGAAAAUGAGCCAAGAUGAUUUUUAGAAAAAAACAUCCAACCUGAGAGAAGCAAGUUGUAAAUGGACAAGACAUAUCUUUCAGUGUGAGAAGAAAAUUAAAAAAAGAAACAGACAGGCCUACCAUGAAAACCAUCCAACAACAGAACUUCAUGAGAGCUCUUUUGACUGUGGAAUUGGAAUUGGCACAAGCACAACUGUGACAAGAGGUUACACUUUGAACCUGAAGGAAGAGGAAGGUGACAGGAAGUAAAGCAGCUGCCUUCUUACACAAGCCAUUUUCUGUGCCGUCAUCACCCCUAGCCUUCUGAGGUUCUGCAGCUUGUUCAGGAAAGUUGCUCUAGCUCAGUAAAACCUUUAGCUGCGUAUCCAGUGCAGGUUAACAGACAAAGAAGAGCCGCAAAACACCUCUACUCACCGAGGCCAGACUCUGAACUGAACCGGAGUAUUUACUGAAAAGUCCUCCAUUUGCAUAGAUACAAGACUGAGAUCCUUUUUCCUUAGCAGAGCUCAGAGAAAGAGUCAAGUUUUGCCGGCUACUGGAACAACUAGAACCUAACAGAUACAUUCAUUUCAAAGCUUCUGCAAACUGAAAACAUUGUAUUUUCUGUUACCAAGAACUAUCAAGAAUUGUGUCUAAUUUUUUCAAUAAAAACUAGUUUAGAAGUAAAUAA